GCUUCCGAAAACCACCCAAAUCCGGCAUAAACCAGCACAAGACCUUGGAAUUUCCCAAACCCCACAGCAGCAAGCGCUUCAUCCAGCGUAUAUACAAGCCUUUCGGAUUCCAUCUUGGUUAAUGGUUGGUUUUAUUCUCCUUCUGGCUGUUAUGUAUGGUCGAAAAUGGAUAUACAAGUUGCAGAAAUCGAGGAAAUUCAC
rnacentral:misc_RNA from 1 species